GUCUUUUUGAGUUAUUUUUAAAGUCUGACCUGCCCAAUGAAAUUUUUGAAUGGCCGCAGUAUUCUAACUGUGCAAAGGUAGCAUAAUCAUUAGUCUUUUAAUUGGAGGCUGGUAUGAAUGGUUGGACGAAGUAUAUACUGUUUCAUGUAUAUUUAUAUUAGAAUUUUAUAUUUUAGUUAAAAAGCUAAAAUAAUAUUAAAAGACGAGAAGACCCUAUAAAUCUUUAUAUUUUGUAUUAUUUAAUUUUUAUAGUCAUUUUUUAUUUUUGUUAUAUAAAAUAUUUUGUUGGGGUGAUGUUAAAAUUUAAUGAACUUUUAAUUGUUUAUAUCAUUAAUUUAUGAAUUAUUGAUCCAUUAGUAGUGAUUAUAAGAUUAAGUUACUUUAGGGAUAACAGCGUUAUUUUUUUGGAGAGUUCAUAUCGAUAAAAAAGUUUGCGACCUCGAUGUUGGAUUAAGAUAUAUUUUAGGUGUAGCUGCUUAAAUGGUAAGUCUGUUCGACUUUUAAAUUCUU
rnacentral:rRNA from 1 species